UGGGGAAUCUUGCGCAAUGGGCGAAAGCCUGACGCAGCGAUGCCGCGUGCGGGAUGAAGGCCUUCGGGUUGUAAACCGCUUUCAGCAGGGACGAAAUUGACGGUACCUGCAGAAGAAGCCCCGGCCAACUACGUGCCAGCAGCCGCGGUAAUACGUAGGGGGCGAGCGUUGUCCGGAUUUAUUGGGCGUAAAGAGCUCGUAGGCGGUUCGAUAAGUCGGAUGUGAAAUCUCCACGCUCAACGUGGAGAGGCCAUUCGAUACUGUCGUGACUCGAGUCCGGUAGGGGAGUGUGGAAUUCCCGGUGUAGCGGUGAAAUGCGCAGAGAUCGGGAGGAACACCCGUAGCGAAGGCGGCACUCUGGGCCGGUACUGACGCUGAGGAGCGAAAGCGUGGGGAGCAAACAGG
rnacentral:rRNA from 3 species